UCAUGCCCUCUCUGUCACAUUCGUAGCUCGAUCUCCUUCUUCUGGGACUUAGCGUUCUGAGCAUGCGGUUUUUGCAACGGCCAUUUCGUGCCGCUUCGAUCUCAUCACCUUCUCUCCCCUCCCACCCCCCUUUUUGAUCCACACUUUGGGGCUUGCAAAUUUUUGACAUGUCAAAUGAGAGUGAAGCCAAAAUGUAAACAGCAAGUGUUUGCGUGUGCGGCGAUCUUAUUAAACAUAAAACUAACCACGACAGUAUUAUUUAGUUGUGGUGGAAGCCAAAAAAAUAGCUUGGAGCAUUCAAUAAAGCAGGAUGAAAUUUUUAACCUUCAAGCACGACGCUGACGCUGAGGUAAGGUGUGCUUGUGUUUAAUUUCGAUGAUUGUUUCAUUUUAGGAUGUGAUUUGUGCCAUAUAACCUUUUCUGACGGGGAUUCUUUAGUCGACAUCGUCUGCAGCUGUUAAGCGGUGCAGAGGAAGGGGCUCGCUACGACCCUUCCCACACCCGGACGCUUUUUCCGGGGAUGAAGGAAAUGUUCCCGGCUAUAUGCGCAAAAUCUAACGGUAACCCGUGUUGUGAACGAAUCGGCAUAUGCGGUGCCGGACACUGUGGAAAUUGUACACAACGGGACGAUGUCCAGGCACGACACAAGAGUACGAUUACAUGCAACUGAUCUGCUGCAAGGAAAGGAUUUCGACGUGUGGAACAAGGAUGUGCUGAAUGCGUUCCUGAUCGAUAUCACGUGGAUAAUUCUACUGCGACUAUAAGGGAUACUUGCUGGAUUGUAUUCGUGACAGGGCCGGCCAGAAGGGUGUGGGCAAGUUGACGGAAAUUGUCGCAAUGUACCAUAGCGUUCCGGUGAUGCCAAAAGACGAAGCAGACUUCUCCAGCUACUUAUCCACGCCGAAGGAUGAACGUGCUCAGGGCAGCAAACAACUCGCCGGAGCACGGAGCGCGAAAGGCAUCGUACGCGCAAGGCUUCAUGCUGCUGCGCGAAGCGGAUGUAUGGCGUUGCUUCCUUGUACUUAAACAUAUACAUCUUUGAGUUGUAUGAGUCCCGUAAAUGGUCAUGCCACUUGAAAACAUACGUUCCCAUUAGACCUCAUCAAUAGAUCAUCUAAUAAACGACGGCGCUGUAUUGAAAGCGGUUCAUGGUAGACCUCAAAACUGGUUAGCACUUGAUAAAAAGUUCUACACAAGGACACUUCUGGGAACUACUCGUCGAAGCAUCGGGAGCUCGUCCGACGUUUGAUGUCAUGAUUAUCUAAAAUAAUAGGUACAGAUUUACCGGAAGCCGAACAACUAUUUCACUAACUAAUACGAGCUGGAAUAGGAAAAAACGUAAAUCCGGAACUGAUUUUUAGAUCAAUAUAUUGAUGCGAGUCCACACAAUGGGGGUCGACCCAUUCCAACUGCUGUCAAAAUGAAACAACAAAGGUAUUUGGUUUGCAUGCGUUUUAUUGAACAAUAACAAGUCGACAAGUGGCGUCGUUUUGAGUAGCUAAAAAUCAGUUCCGGAUUUACGUUUUUUCCUAUUCCAGCUCGUAUUAGUUAGUGAAAUAGUUGUUCGGCUUCCGGUAAAUCUAUAAUCAUGACAUCAAACGUCGGACGAGCUCCCGAUGCUUCGACGAGUAGUUCCCAGAAGUGUCCUUGUGUAGAACUAGCGCAGGAAAAUAAAAAAGAUAUAAGGACAGUUUUGAAUGCAGUGAUGGACGUGCGAAUGAAACAGGACGAUAUUUUAAAAACUCAAAGCCAAAGCCAAGUUGAACCAACCCAAAAUGAUGAUGGGCAUAUGGAAGAUGAAGAAUACUUUUUGUUCGCUUUGGUUUCAACCAAGAUCGGUCUAGAUGACUUAGAAGAAAGCAUAGCGUCAGCAGAGCGCUUCAAUAAUUUAAAAGGAUGGCUUAUGAAGAAGGUAAAAGCAUCAAACGCAAAGAGCAGAAUGCAUCGCGUUCUUUACCUAUUAUUUAAUAGGAUAUUUAUAGUAGAUUGCAGUUGGAGUGGACGGGGAGGCAACGGGCCUAAGGUAGAAUUCAGGAAAUAUUCUAAUAUCCUCCGUCUAUUUGCUGUUGUCGGAGGAGCAGGAAGGGCUUUAGAGGAUUCUAUUGUUGAGGAUUUUUUUAUAAAGAAAUUUAAAAAUUCGCAAUCAGCUGCCCAAGCGAAAGGCAUUGUGAAAAGUGUCAAUCGUGGUACGUUUUCAAGAAAGAAGAAGAAGAAUUAGAUAAAUAAGAUAGAGUUCAAUAAUGUUCCUUUGACGAUUUUUUUGCUUUGAAUUUGUUGAUAUUGAUAAGGUUUUUUUUUAUUUUUGAUUGUUGCUGAACUAUUAGUCAAUUGAAAAAUAUAAGCGAAUUCAUAAAUGCUAGUAAAUGUUGAUAGUAAUUGAUUUUUUGGCUUAAGGUAGUUGUAUGAAUUAUUCUAAAUAAUGUGGAUAUCAGUAAAUAUAAAAUAUUAUGGAGUU